rnacentral:rRNA from 1 species
AUUGAACGCUGGCGGCAUGCCUAACACAUGCAAGUCGAACGGUUUAUGGAGCUUGCUUCAUAGAUAGUGGCGGACGGGUGAGUAAUAUGUAGGAAUCUGCCUUGAGGAGGGGGAUAACUUGGGGAAACUCAAGCUAAUACCGCGUAAGUCGGAGACGAGAAAGCAGGGGACCGAAAGGCCUUGCGCCUUAAGAUGAGCCUACAUCGGAUUAGCUAGUUGGUGGGGUAAAGGCCUACCAAGGCGAUGAUCCGUAGCUGGUCUGAGAGGAUGACCAGCCACACUGGGACAGAGACACGGCCCAGACUCCUACGGGAGGCAGCAGUGGGGAAUACUGGACAAUGGGGGCAACCCUGAUCCAGCAAUGCCGCGUGUGUGAAGAAGGUCUUCGGAUCGUAAAGCACUUUCGGCGGGGACGAUGAUGACGGUACCCGCAGAAGAAGCCCCGGCUAACUUCGUGCCAGCCGCCGCGGUAA